rnacentral:rRNA from 1 species
GACGAACGCUGGCGGCGUGCUUAACACAUGCAAGUCGAACGGAAAGGCCCUGCUUUUGUGGGGUGCUCGAGUGGCGAACGGGUGAGUAACACGUGAGUAACCUGCCCUUGACUUUGGGAUAACUUCAGGAAACUGGGGCUAAUACCGGAUAGGAGCUCCUGCUGCAUGGUGGGGGUUGGAAAUUUUCGGCGGUUGGGGAUGGACUCGCGGCUUAUCAGCUUGUUGGUGGGGGAGUGGCUUACCAAGGCUUUGACGGGUAGCCGGCCUGAGAGGGUGACCGGCCACAUUGGGACUGAGAUACGGCCCAGACUCCUACGGGAGGCAGCAGUGGGGAAUAUUGCACAAUGGUCGGAAGCCUGAUGCAGCAACGCCGCGUGCGGGAUGACGGCCUUCGGGUUGUAAACCGCUUUCGCCUGUGACGAAGCGUGAGUGACGGUAAUGGGUAAAGAAGCACCGGCUAACUACGUG